AUUUAGUAAAUAAUAAUUUAAUAAAUGUAAAUUGAUAUCUUUUAAUUCAUAAAAUAUUUAUAAAUAGAAAUUACUUUUUUAUAGUAACUUGAUUGUUAUUUAAAUACUGUAUUGUGAUAUAAAUAGAUAUAUUAUGAAUAAACUUAUGAUUAAUGAAAUCGCAUAAAGGAGCUAAUAUAAAGGCGGAUCCAAUGUUUUGUGGGUAUGCAAACAAAAAUAUUAAAAGUGCAAAAGCAAAAGUUCAAAAGUGGGGGGACAACUUCACACUGGUUAAGAAAUUACAUAUGAUCUUUAUAUUGAACAUUAGAAAAUUAUUGCAGAAAUAUAGGAAUUUGAUGGUAACAAUGUAUUUGUUAAGAUAUAUAAAAUGAGUAAUAUACAGAUUUUUUUGUUCAGUUUGAAUUAACUAGAAAGGUUUAUUAUUAUAAUGCUAUGAAGAUUCACGAUAACAAUUCUGCAAUAGGUCAUGUAACCCCACAGAUGAUGUCAUUGGAUAUAUAAGAUUAUUAAGGGAAUAAUUCUGCAUUGGUCACAGAAUCACAAAGAUAACAUCAUUUUAAUGUAAUAAUAGUUGGUAUGAUGCCAUAAAAUGUAUAUUGUCAAUAUUGUAUGGUAUAAAUAUGUAUUAACAUAAGAUAUCAUGAUGAUAUAGCAAUUGAUAGGAUUAUUUAUAUACACAUAGGACAAAACUGUGUCAGAAGUUCCUGGCUAAUGUCAGACAUUAUGACUAUUUUUAUAAUGUGUUUAGCUGUUUCAUUUCAUUAUAGAUACUAGUUUGAAUUCAGGAAUUCAGAUGUGGUCAUCAUUAUUGGAACAUCAUAUGGUGAUGAUAAUUUAUAAUUGUCAUUAUCAUAAAUUGAUUAGUUGACCUGCAAUUUUUUGCAACAGUUUAUCUCUCU
rnacentral:lncRNA from 1 species